ACACAUGCAAGUCGAACGGUAACAGGUCUUCGGAUGCUGACGAGUGGCGGACGGGUGAGUAACGCGUAGGAAUCUGCCCAUCUGUGGGGGAUACCAGUUGGAAACGACUGUUAAUACCGCAUAAUAUCUGCGGAUUAAAGGUGGCCUUUGCGCUGCCGCAGAUGGAUGAGCCUGCGUUGGAUUAGCUAGUUGGUGGGGUAAGGGCCUACCAAGGCUACGAUCCAUAGCUGAUUUGAGAGGAUGAUCAGCCACAUUGGGACUGAGACACGGCCCAAACUCCUACGGGAGGCAGCAGUGGGGAAUAUUGGACAAUGGGGGAAACCCUGAUCCAGCAAUGCCAUGUGUGUGAAGAAGGCUCUAGGGUUGUAAAGCACUUUAGUUGGAGAGGAAAGCCUGUGAGUUAAUAGCUUGCAGGAAGGACGUUGCCCAAAGAAUAAGGACCGGCUAACUCCGUGCCAGCAGCCGCGGUAAUACGGGGGGUCCGAGCGUUAAUCGGAAUUACUGGGCGUAAAGGGUCUGUAGGUGGUUUGUUAAGUCAGAUGUGAAAGCCCAGGGCUCAACCUUGGAACUGCAUUUGAUACUGACAAACUAGAGUAUGGUAGAGGAAUAGGGAACUUCUGGUGUAGCGGUGAAAUGCGUAGAGAUCAGAAGGAACACCAAUGGCGAAGGCAACAUUCUGGACCAAUACUGACACUGAGGGACGAAAGCGUGGGGAUCAAACAGGAUUAGAUACCCUGGUAGUCCACGCUGUAAACGAUGAGUACUAGCUGUUGGAUUCGGUGUAAAGGAUCUAGUGGCGCAGCUAACGCGUUAAGUACUCCGCCUGGGGACUACGGCCGCAAGGCUAAAACUCAAAGGAAUUGACGGGGACCCGCACAAGCGGUGGAGCAUGUGGUUUAAUUCGAUGCAACGCGAAGAACCUUACCUGGUCUUGACAUCCUGCGAACUUUCUAGAGAUAGAUUGGUGCCUUCGGGAACGCAGUGACAGGUGCUGCACGGCUGUCGUCAGCUCGUGUUGUGAAAUGUUGGGUUAAGUCCCGCAACGAGCGCAACCCCUAUUGAUAGUUACCAUCAUUAAGUUGGGUACUCUAUUGAGACUGCCGCUGACAAGGCGGAGGAAGGUGGGGACGACGUCAAGUCAUCAUGGCCCUUACGACCAGGGCUACACACGUGCUACAAUGGGUAUUACAGAGGGCUGCGAAGGUGCGAGCUGGAGCGAAACUCAGAAAGGUACUCUUAGUCCGGAUUGCAGUCUGCAACUCGACUGCAUGAAGUCGGAAUCGCUAGUAAU
rnacentral:rRNA from 1 species